rnacentral:rRNA from 1 species
GGAUUAGGGUGCAAGUCGAACGAGGAUAUAUCCUUCUGGAUAUAAGCCCAGUGGCACAAGGGUGAGCAAUGCAUAUAUUACCUACCUUUAGGAUAAGGGCAACUUUGUGAAAACGGAGCUAAUACUUAAUGACCAAAAGAAAAUAAUUUUCUUUUGUCAAAGGGAGGGUAGCAAUACCUUUCGCCUAGAGAGGGGUUUAUGUCCUAUCAGCUUGUUGGUGGGGUAAUAGCCCACCAAGGCGAAGACGGGUAGCCGGUUUAAGAGGAUGGUCGGCCACACUGGGACUGAGACACUGCCUAGACUUCUACGGAAGGCUGCAGUCGAGAAUCUUUCUCAAUGCCCGAAAGGAA